rnacentral:siRNA from 1 species
AAGAUACUCCUAAUGGAGAUGGUC